CUGGUGGUUAAUGAUGCACGCUCUUUCCCCGACUGAUCGACUAUGCUGAUAUAGAUUUGUAAGAUAAGCCAAUUAUUUCUGAAACCACAAU